CCUACGGGUGACAGCAGUGGGGAAUAUUGGGCAAUGGGCGCAAGCCUGACCCAGCAACGCCGCGUGAAGGAAGAAGGCUUUCGGGUUGUAAACUUCUUUUCUCAGGGACGAAGCAAGUGACGGUACCUGAGGAAUAAGCCACGGCUAACUCCGUGCCAGCAGCCGCGGUAAUACGGAGGAUCCGAGCGUUAUCCGGAUUUAUUGGGUUUAAAGGGAGCAUAGAUGGGUUGUUAAGUCAGUUGUGAAAGUUUGCGGCUCAACCGUAAAAUUGCAAUUGAAACUGUUGAUCUUGAGUACUGGAGAGGCAGACGGAAUUCCUAGUGUAGCGGUGAAAUGCGUAGAUAUUAGGAGGAACACCAGUGGCGAAGGCGGUCUGCUGGACAGCAACUGACGGUGAGGCGCGAAAGCGUGGGGAGCAAACAGGAUUAGAUACCCGGGUAGUC
rnacentral:rRNA from 1 species